UACGUAGGGGGCAAGCGUUGUCUGGAAUUAUUGGGCGUAAAGCGCGCGCAGGCGGUUUCUUAAGUCUGAUGUGAAAGCCCACGGCUCAACCGUGGAGGGUCAUUGGAAACUGGGGAACUUGAGUGCAGAAGAGAAGAGCGGAAUUCCACGUGUAGCGGUGAAAUGCGUAGAGAUGUGGAGGAACACCAGUGGCGAAGGCGGCUCUUUGGUCUGUAACUGACGCUGAGGCGCGAAAGCGUGGGGAGCGAACAGG
rnacentral:rRNA from 1 species